GGAGUCUCUUCUUGAGAUGUCCUUGUUCAAUAACAUCACAUUAUGCUAUUGUUGUGAAGUUUAUGUUUCAGGUUCUCAUCAAAGUUUUCAUGAAGAAUUUCCUGAAGACUGGUCGUUUGGAAUGAUGGCACUACCCGGACAAUCGUGAGAUGAUUCUAUGUGGUCAAGCGUAGAUUAGGGGGAGUGUUAAGAUUUAUUACAUAAAUGUAUUAGGGAAUCUCCUCCUCUCCCAAACCGUCGGACGGUUCUCUUCCUCAACCGACGCUUCUCCCGCUUGUCUAGAACCGACGCCUCUCUGAACCGUCGUGUUCCUCUGGGUCAUAUAUAUUGCACCCUGUAACCAUCGAUGUAAUCACUCAAUCAUUCGUUG
rnacentral:lncRNA from 1 species